GGAGGAGGCUGCCCAGGGAGACGCGCCCUGGCGAGUUAGGACUGGUUUUCUGGUGAGACAACAGGGAAAGGUGCAGGAGUGGCCAGAGCCAGAGACCCGGACCCUGCGAGGACCAAGGGGAGACUUCCAGGAGGGCGAUCCUAGGGCCGGCCGAAAUGAGCUGGAUUCUGUGCCACCUGAAUCCAAUUGUGAGAAAAACCACACAGUAAUUUAAACAGGAAAGUUUAAUAUAAAGAAUUACUGACUUCAACAGUGAAUUGGAAUCAUGGAUUCACUGGUAACAUGGGAUGAGGGAGUGACAGAGGCCUCCACGGAGACACUAUUCAUGAACAGCAGACAGGGGUGCCAGUGUAUGCUGCUGACCACCUAGGAGCCCUGCAGCACCCAGACACCCAGCUAAGCUGUAUUCCUUAAGCUUCAAGCACUUGGAGCCAGAACCUUUCCAUUGGAUCAUCUAUCUCUUCAGCACCCUCUACUGAUGAA